rnacentral:rRNA from 1 species
UACGUAGGGGGCAAGCGUUAUCCGGAUUUACUGGGUGUAAAGGGAGCGUAGGUGGCAAGGCAAGUCAGAAGUGAAACCCUCGGGCUCAACCUGAGGCAUGCUUUUGAAACUGUCAAGCUGGAGUGCUGGAGAGGUAAGCGGAAUUCCUAGUGUAGCGGUGAAAUGCGUAGAUAUUAGGAGGAACACCGGUGGCGAAGGCGGCUUACUGGACAGUAACUGACACUGAGGCUCGAAAGCGUGGGGAGCAAACA